ACCAUUUGCCUGAAGCUCCUCAUCCCCUUCCUUGUGCCUCCUCAGAAUUCUACCAGUGCACCUCAUUCAGACAUUCAUCAAGAAAAAGGCCAGCUGAAGGCAGACAGCCAACAAAACUCAGUCGUUAGCCACAGCCCUGGCUGUCCUCGUCCAUCAAGCCUGCCCAUUGUGAGCUUCCAUUCAUCUUACCUGUCUGUUAUGGAAGAGUGAAGUGGAAAAGGCAUGGAGGACUCAGAAGACCUGCUACCGAGAAGAGCCCCAUUGCAAUCAGAAGAUUAUUUAUGGAAAAAAGCAAAAUGGAGAUAUUUAAAAGACGGAGAGAGACAGCAGAAAGCUGCUUAAGAAAUUGCUUUGAGUCCACAGGAGGGAAGCACAAAGGAGAUGGGAUAAUAGUGUUAUACACUACAUGGUAAGUGUAAUAAACUCCAAGCUGGGAGGACAGCAAGGGCACUCUGUGUGGGUUAAUUGGUGCCCUGCCUACGCUCGAGAGAGAAUAAAUUUUCAACCACAUCAAAGUCUUCUCCAGAAAAAAAAAAAAGCUCGUUAAAAAUCCCAUUUCCAGGAACCCUGGCAGCCAGACAAUAAGAAGGCUAAACAACAACAACAACAACAACAACAAAAAUCACCUCUAUUUGGCCUACUACUCCCUCAAACAUUAAACUAUUUGCCUUGAAAAGAA
rnacentral:lncRNA from 1 species